AUGGAUGGUGCUGUCCUCUUCAGAGGGCCUGGUCUGAUGUUUGAAGAGCCUGUCUACCCUGUCAAAUACACACUGCUGCAUUUACCAUGUUCCUGCAUCCAUCAUGUGAGGUCAUGUGCUGUCAUAGACGCUGUGGAUUCCUGUUACAUGUCAUCUGCCCAUCUGCACAGGAGAAGACCAGACGCUACUAACGAGGAACGGUAUGCCAGAGAUAUGCCCCAAUGGUGUGACAAUAAGAGGAGGUCACAGGGACGAGAGCUCCUGCAGGCUGAUCCUCCAUGGUGGGAGCAGUGUUGAUAAGGGCACACACUACAUGGAUAUUGUGUCAGAGAUUAAGGAGGGAUUAGUUUUGAGGUAAGUUUCAAUAAGUCCAUUAGUUGUCACGGUUAUUAUGGACCUGUGUGUCCACCAUGACACGGGAUCUUAUAUUUUGCACUUAUGUCAGUGUCCUCUCCUAGGUAGGAAUGAUGACUGGUAAAUGGUCUUGUCUGCACUUUGCUAUAGAGGAUGCCAUCUGAAGAUUGUCCAGAAUGCCAUUGUUCUUUGAUGUGGAGGGUACAAGUUUGUGAAGGUUAGUUACUGCAUGUUACUUGUUUUAAUCACGAUCUGUCCUCCUAUCCAUUGGUUGCUGAAUGCCAACCAUUCCCAGGGCAAAACUCAGUCACAUGCCCCCAUUGUGUAAUCAAACAUCUACCAUUUGAAAUGCCCACACGGCUGGCCUUUCACCCCACCCUCAUUUUCCAUGGAGGCCCGGCUCGGGUAACCCUAUCCCCAGACAAGCACCCUGGCUCUCUUCCCUCCGUGUGAAGUCCGGACACUCCUGCUCUGGCUGUGGACUGGACAGCUGCUGGCCCUGUUUACUGCUGUGGCCCUUCACGGGUUAGCAUUCUUCAUACCUGAUCACUGUCAGCAGCUACAGCCCCUCACUGUGGCCCGUGUCUCCAAAGGGAGCACACAAAGCACUAUUCUAAACAUACUAAGCACAUAAAACUAUUGAUCCCCCUUUGGAACAUAUUUGGCUUUGUGAAGCGGGAAGCCUUUUAACAUUGGUUUGCUUUCGGUCAUAGGAAACUAUUAGGGGAGCGGUGUUAAUGGGGUGAUAUUUACGGUCAGUAUGUUCCCAGGGUCAAAUGUUCUGCUCCAUUAUACAGUGCCUUGCAAAAGUAUUCAUCCCCCUUGAUGUUUUUCCUAUUUUGUUGCAUUACAACCUGCAAUUUAAAUGGAUUUUUAUUUGGGUUUCAUGUAAUAGAUAUACACAAAAUAGUCAAAAUUGGUGAAGUGAAAUGAAAAAAAUUACUUGUUUCAAAAAAUUCUCAAAAAACAACAACUGAAAAGUGGUGCGUGUAUAUGUAUUCACCCCCUUUGCUAUGAAACCACCUGUGUGAAAUCUAUGUGUCACAUGAGUAUAUAUACACCUGUUCUGAAAGGCCCCAGCGUCUGCAACACCACAAAGCAAGGGGAACCACCAAGCAAGCAGCACCAUGAAGACCAAGGAGCUCUUCAAGCAGGACAGGGACAAAGUUGUUGUCACACCCUGACCAUAGUUUGCUUUGUAUGUUUCUAUGUUUUGGUUGGUCAGGGUGUGAUCUGAGUGGGCAUUCUAUGUUGGAUGUCUUGUUUGUCUAUUUCUAUGUCUGGCCUGAUAUGGUUCUCAAUCAGAGGCAGGUGUUAGUCAUUGUGUCUGAUUGGGAACCAUAUUUAGGUAGCCUGGGUUUCACUGUGUGUUUGUGGGUGAUUGUUCCUGUCUCUGUGUUUGCACCAGAUAGGGCUGUUUAGGUUUUCGCACGUUUAUUGUUUUAUUAGUUAUUUCAUGUGUAGUGUCUUUAUAAAUUAAAGAACAUGAAUAACCACCACGCUACAUUUUGGUCCGCUUCUCCUUCACAACAGGAAAACCGUUACAGUUGUGGAGAAGUACAGAUCAGGGUUGGGUUAUAAAAAAAUAUCAGAAACUUUGAACACCCCACGGAGCACCGUUAAAUCCAUUAUAAAAAAAUGGAAAGAAUAUGGCACCACAACAAACCUGCCAAGAGAGGGCCGUCCACCAAAACUCACGGACCAGGCAAGGAGGGCAUUAAUCAGAGAGGCAACAAAGAGACCUAAGAUAAUCCUGAAAGAGCUGCAAAGCUCCACAGCAGAGAUUGGAGUAUCUGUCCAUAGGACCACUUUAAGCCGUACACUCCACAGAGCUGGGCUUUAUGGAAGAGUGGCCAGAAAAAAAGCCAUUGCUUAAAGAAAAAAAUAAGCAAGCACAUUUGGUGUUCGCCAAAAGGCAUGUGGGAGACUCCCCAAACAUAUGGAAGAAGGUACUCUGGUCAGAUGAGACUAAAAUUGAGCUUUUUGGCCAUCAAGGAAAAUGCCCUGUCUGGCGCAAACCCAACAACUCUCAUCACCCAGAGAA
ensembl:lncRNA